AAAGAAAAUUCGAUUCCCUUAGUAGCGGCGAGCGAAACGGGAAGAGCCCAAACCAACAAGCUUGCUUGUUGGGGUUGUAGGACACUCUAUACGGAGUUACAAAGGACGACAUUAGACGAAUCAUCUGGAAAGAUGAAUCAAAGAAGGUAAUAAUCCUGUAGUCGAAAAUGUUGUCUCUCUUGAGUGGAUCCUGAGUACGACGGAACACGUGAAAUUCCGUCGGAAUCUGGGAGGACCAUCUCCUAAGGCUAAAUACUCUCUAGUGACCGAUAGUGAACCAGUACCGUGAGGGAAAGGUGAAAAGCACCCCGGAAGGGGAGUGAAAUAGAACCUGAAACCGUGUGCUUACAAGUAGUCAGAGCCCGUUAAUGGGUGAUGGCGUGCCUUUUGUAGAAUGAACCGGCGAGUUACGAUUUGAUGCAAGGUUAAGCAGUAAAUGUGGAGCCGUAGCGAAAGCGAGUCUGAAUAGGGCGUUUAGUAUUUGGUCGUAGACCCGAAACCAGGUGAUCUACCCUUGGUCAGGUUGAAGUUCAGGUAACACUGAAUGGAGGACCGAACCGACUUACGUUGAAAAGUGAGCGGAUGA
rnacentral:rRNA from 1 species